GACGUAGGGCGCGAGCGUUGUCCGGAUUUAUUGGGCGUAAAGAGCGCGUAGGCGGCCCGUUAAGUCGGAUGUGAAAACCCGUGGCUCAACCACGGGCCUGCAUCCGAUACUGGCGGGCUCGAGGCAGGCAGGGGAGAUCGGAAUUCCUGGUGUAGCGGUGAAAUGCGCAGAUAUCAGGAGGAACACCGGUGGCGAAGGCGGAUCUCUGGGCCUGUCCUGACGCUCAGGCGCGAAAGCUAGGGGAGCAAACGGG
rnacentral:rRNA from 1 species